UACAGAGGGUGCAAACGUUGUUCGGAAUUACUGGGCGUAAAGCGCGUGUAGGCGGCCAAUUAUGUCGAAUGUGAAAGCCCUCGGCUUAACCGAGGAAGUGCGUUCGAAACUGGUUGGCUUGAGUACCGGAGAGGGGGGUGGAAUUCCCGGUGUAGAGGUGAAAUUCGUAGAUAUCGGGAGGAACACCAGUGGCGAAAGCGACCCCCUGGACGGUUACUGACGCUGAGACGCGAAAGCGUGGGGAGCAAACAGG
rnacentral:rRNA from 1 species